GCAGCCAACCCCAGUGCCACAGCCCCUGCCGCAACCAAAUCCAAAUCCAAACCCACAGCCGCAGCCCCUUCCACAGCCCGAUCCAAACCCACAGCCUCUGCCUCAGCCCCUACCGCAGCCCGAUCCAAACCCACAGCCUCUGCCUCAGCCCCUCCCACAACCACAGCCAGGCCCAAUCCCGCCGCAGCCUCUGCCGCAGCCCGACCCAAACCCACAGCCCGUACCACAGCCCCUCCCACAACCACAGCCAGGCCCAAUCCCGCCGCAGCCUUUGCCGCAGCCUGACCCAAACCAGCCUCUGCCACAGCCGCAGCCGGCACCGGGGACCCAACCUGUUUCGACCCAAAAUCCACAACCGCAGG
rnacentral:lncRNA from 1 species